GAUGAACGCUGGCGGCGUGCCUAAUACAUGCAAGUCGAGCGAACAGACGAGGAGCUUGCUCCUCUGACGUUAGCGGCGGACGGGUGAGUAACACGUGGAUAACCUACCUAUAAGACUGGGAUAACUUCGGGAAACCGGAGCUAAUACCGGAUAAUAUAUUGAACCGCAUGGUUCAAUAGUGAAAGACGGUUUUGCUGUCACUUAUAGAUGGAUCCGCGCCGCAUUAGCUAGUUGGUAAGGUAACGGCUUACCAAGGCAACGAUGCGUAGCCGACCUGUGAGGGUGAUCGGCCACACUGGAACUGGGACGCGGUCCAGACUCCUACGGGAGGCAGCAGUAGGGAAUCUUCCGCAAUGGGCGAAAGCCUGACGGAGCAACGCCGCGUGAGUGAUGAAGGUCUUCGGAUCGGAAAACUCUGUUAUUAGGGAAGAACAAAUGUGUAAGUAACUAUGCACGUCUUGACGGUACCUAAUCAGAAAGCCACGGCUAACUACGUG
rnacentral:rRNA from 1 species